GGAGAGGGAUAAGGGGUCAAGGGCGUGUCCAGUUGCAGGCGGGAGCUUCGCUGCGAAGGGGGAAGGGAGAGGGAGAAAUGCCUUUCCUGCCAUUUCCACACCUCCCCCAACACCACCAUCCAUACACUUGACAGCAGCUAAUCCUGCCAUGGGCUAAUAGUGUCUGAGCCCCCUCUCCCCCUUCUUUGGGCCCCACAUGCCUCCAAAGCAUUCUUGCAAACCUUUGGCUCCCACCUGCUAGCUGCCCACAGCUACCACACAAAGUACCGCCCCCCCAGAAGUUCCUUCCUUGCAUCUGCUUCCCUCCCCGGCGCUGGGAAUCCCCCUUCCCAUGAAUAUGCAAACACAGGAUAGCAGCUCACUCAGCUGGAAUGAGAAAAGGGUCCUACCCCCUGAAUCUAUGCCAGGAACUCCUAGUCUUAGGUUUUUAUAUGGUGCCUGGCACAGGGGUAUUUAAGUUAUGACUCAUGAGAGGUGGGGGUGAUGAUAUAGUGGGCAUCCUUCAUCUCUGGCAGCAGCUGCAGGCUGGUCUGGGUUUAGGAGAAGGCCAAAGGUGAUAUCUGCUGACAGCAGGAGGAAAAAUGCCUCACCCUUAAAAUCAUUUUCUCUUUGCUAUGCAGCCUCCGCUGCAUGAGCCUCUACUUCUGCAGCAGCCCUGCUGCUGAGUAGAGUGUAUAGUAGAGCAAAGAUACACUGCGUACCUUUCUUUCUUGGUUUCUCCUCCCAUCGGUCUUUCCUACCCUCCAUUCUAAAAAUUACACUGCGCUCCAGCUCACUCAAGGGUAAACACAGCUAUUGCAUAUUUAAUGCAAAUAACAUGCCCCAUGCUGGGUUUGUGCUAGGAACACCUGUUAGGAGGAGGAGAAAGGCAGAGCCUGCCCCUGGGCAGGGAUGGGUCCCUGCUUUGGGGGUGGGGGAGAGAAAGAGGCUGUGCCAGCUACAAUGUCUGCAACAGGAUGGUAGGUAUGGCAGGGGGUUAGGUUGACCAGACAGCAAAUGUGAAAAAUCGGGAUGGGGUGUGGGGUAAUAGGAGCCUAUAUAAGUAAAAGACCCAAAAAUCAGGACUGUCCCUAUAAAAAUCAGGACAUCUGGUCACCCUACAGGGGGUAGAGUCUGCAAUGAACAGACCAGACUAAUGGAUGGUAGUGAUCAGGAAGAGAUUGGGGAAGGGGAUGCCAUCUGAGGCGUGAGAGCAAGGACCCGGCCAGAGUAUUUCCUCCCAGUUUGACCUUCAGGAACAUAUGCACUAUUUUCCUCUUUCUUCCCCCUCAGGGACCCUGGAGAGCACAUGGUCAAACUAAGCACAGUCAGGGAGAAGAAUGAGCUGCUCACAGCUACUGCCUAGAUUUUGUUUGUUUGUUUGUUUUUCAAAGCCAUAUCGCAACUUGCUGGGUCCUUGUAAGCUGAGACCGGAUCAAUACCUCACAGAGAAGCACCACUAUGGAGCAGGCAGAUUCUAUUGUUUAAACAAAGGCACUGCUGCCUUGUUAACCUAGCUUUGGAGAUGCUCAUCAUCAGCAUCAAGAAACAAAGCGAAGGAGGUACUCGCCAUUCCUCCCCAUCGGGUUUUAGCAUAUCAAUCACAAUGCAAAUACGAAAUUGCUCCUAGACACAGACACUUUGAUCCCCUAUCACCAUGGUAUCUAGGUACUUGAUGUAUUAACCAUGGCACUGCUUGUCUACCUUGCCCUGCAAAUAAUGUUAUUGAAACUGAAACUUCAAAGCCCAGGAAUAUUACAGAGGAACCAGAGAAACAAGCACUGGAGUGGAAUCAAAACAAUGAACCGACGGACAGCUUCAAUGUGGUUAUAUCAUUAAUGGAUUUGGCCCCUUUCUCCCCAGGAUGGGGAGUUUGGUGUUGGAGAGUCCUGAGACCUUCAAACAAUAACAUGGAAUUAAGCAUCAAAAACCAACCAACCAGAAGAAUGUAAAAUAAACAAAUCAGAUAAGGGUUAUCUAGGAGCAGCUGGUUUAACAGCUGCACACAGAGAAUGGGUUGGGUGCCAUGGAUAGUUCAUUCUUAUAAAUGUUUUACUCCUUUAUCAGAGAAAACUUAGCACUUUGCAUCUUCAGAACUCUUUGUGAAGACCAGUAAUACCUAGAAUUUAUACAGGGUCUUUUCAACUGUAGAUCUCAAAGCACUUUACAAAGGAAAAAUAUUAUUUACUACAUUUUACCAACAUAGAACCUGAGUCACAGAGGAGAAGUAACAUCCAAGGUCAUGUGGGGGGGGGGGGGAGGGGAGAAGGAAAGGGUUGGUUUGUUUUUUUAAACACACACCUUGUAUUAGCUAAUGUAUUAAAAUUCUAGUGUUGCCAAGGCAGUUGUUGUUUUAACAUGUGUUAGCAGGUCAGAGUGAAGCUAAAGUCAGAGUCAAUGGCAAAACAAGGAUUAGAAUCCAAGUCUCCUGAUUCCCACCCCUGUGCUCCUAUCUCACAACCAGCUGAGAGAAAAGUUAUUAUUAUUAUUAUUCUAAGAGAGAGGUUAAGGCGGUAAAAUGUGGGUCUGGAUGCCAAAGUUUAGAAGUGUUUGGAUCCAGUGUCUGUGACAGAGAUUGGGGCCAUUUGCAAAAUUUGAAUCCAAAUCUUGAACUAAAAUUUCAAACACCCCUGGAGUUCAGAGAUGUUCACAUCAAGGGUGUGAGUUUUGACCCCUCUCGAUUUAGUUUCUCCAUUUUUAAAAUGGGAGAACUAGGACAGAGACCAAGACUAACAUUUUCAAAAGAGAGGACUCUGAUUUUGGGUGCCUUCAUUUGUGAAUGUCUAAUUUGAGACACGAGGACUUGAUUGGCAGAGGUGCUGAGCACACACAACUCCUGCUGCCAUUACCUGGAGCUGUGGCCGCUCAGCAUUGCUGAAAAUCAGGGUCAAGAUCAGCACCCAAAAUACAUGGACACUUAACUUAAAGUCACAGUCCGUAACAGAGCUGGCUGUGAUUCUGGCAGACUAGGUGACCGCUCUUGCCAAGGCUUUAGGACUCAGCCAAACACUGACAAACUCAUUGCUGGAAGCCAGUCAAUUUCACCUGUGUGUUAGGAUAGUUAAGAUGGGUAUUGGACUUAUAACAAUGUGUUUAGACUUUAUGAAAUACUUCUACGUUGUUGCAUGCAUUAAUCUCAAUUAUAAUUUCUUUAUCACCUGCUAUACAAUAUCUAAUGUUUUGCUGUAUAACUAAAAAAUGUUUGCUCUGAAAUUGUGAACCCAGUCAGGAGGGAUCGUCUCCUGCCCAUCAAGAAGGGUUAUUAAAACUAAGUGAGCCAUUGUGGGACAUCACAAUACAAAGACUUGGUUAAUUGCCCCCUUGCAUCCAUGAAGCGGCUUGAGUUCUGGAAGAAGAAAAUAAAAACAAGAAAUGUUUUCCCAUCUUUUUUGCUGUUUGGAUUCUCAUGGGGCCGAGGAGCUAUGCAACAGAAGCAGAGAUCCCAGGGUCAACCUGAGUUAGGCCUAAAAGGCAUUCAGAGCCGACAGAUUACUAUAACUCUGUCACCUUUCAAAACCCAUAGACUGCAACUCAUUUGUGUAUAUAUGCUUGCCUGCUUUAGCUCUGUAAUAACUUACUUCUUUUCUUAGUUAAUAAAUCUGUAGAUAGCCAA